UACGAACGCUGGCGGCGUGCUUAACCCAUGCAAGUCGAACGGAGUGGCGAACGGGUGCGUAACACGUGGGUGAUCUGCCUUGCACUUCGGGAUAAGCUUGGGAAACUGGGUCUAAUACCGGAUAGUGCAAGAUGAGCUCGGCCUCGCAGCUUGUUGGUGGGGUAAUUGCCUACCAAGGCGUCGACGGGUAGCCGGCCUGCGAGGGGGUACGGCCACAGUGGGACUGAGGUACGGCCCAGACUCGUACGGGAGGCAGCAGGGGGGAAUAUUGCACAAUGGGCGGAAGCAUGAUGCAGCGACGCCGCGUGGGGGAUGAAGGCCUUCGGGUUGUAAACUCCUUUCGACAGGGACGCGGUACCUGUAUAAGAAGCACCGGCUAACUACGUGCCAGUAGCCGCGGUAAUUC
rnacentral:rRNA from 1 species